GUGCUAUUUAUCUUAUUUGUUUAUAUUAUUAUUUAGUUAUUUAUUUUCCAUUUUGUAUUGCGCUAUUCCUCUCCAGAAAUAAAUGGAUUCUUCUCUGGUGGUAAAUUGUUUCCCUUUCACAAGUACAUAUACCAAAAAAAUAAAAAAUAAAAUUCUGUUUUUCUUUCGAAAUGUUUAAUAUUUGACAUUCCUUUGUUGUUAGAGACCAGGAGCAGAUCGUGGAUCUUAGAAACAGAGCUUCUAACUGCAGUUGGUCGUGAUCACAGGUUAAGUGAGUGGGAAGGAGGUUUUUUUCUGAGAGGUGGUGAGAGAAAAGCAUUCUAAGGCAGUUAGAGAGUGAUCUGGAACCUGAGGACGGGAUUCCAGGCAACUGAGAUGCAAUGCUGAAGUUCCAAGGAAACAUAAGUGUCUCAUGAAGCCCAAGCUUUUGGCUGGAGGAGUGGUCACCUUUGAUCCCUACCAGCAAGAAUCUUAAGAAGCACGACUGGUGGAUAGGCCUUUUCACUAAGGGAGACAUCUAUCAAAACAAGGUGCUAAGGGCCUUUUCUCUGAUUGCACCUCAAGAUGCAUAUGAUGGGAACAGGAAACAAUAACUCUUCUGAAGACACACAGCUGGUGUUUCGCUACCAGUCCUUUGGCCGCAUCUUCAGCUUCUUGGGUCUUGUUUGCUUGUUCACUGCGAUGGUCUCUCCCCAUUGGGUUGUGGUCGUCGGCACCCGGCACACGAUCAAUGUGGGCCUCUGGACUAUGUGCAGAUACAAAAACUGCAGGAAAUAUGUGGGAGCCGCCAAAAUCCUUGUGGUGAUCAAAGUCUUAAUUUCGUUGUGUGCCCUCAGUGGUUUGGUGGCAGUCUCCUGUGCAUUUCUAAGCAGCCUCAGAAAAUCCAAAGCACCUCUUUUUACCAAUUUUUUCACAGGACUACUGUUGCUCGGCACGAUGUUGUUGUACGACCUGUCACUAAAACCCAACAACAUAUUUGGUUCCUCCGUCGUGGUGACCGAUCUCCCGGUUUAUGUUUCCUGGUCCUUCAUUUUGGGCUGCUUCGCCUGUUUCCUGUUUCUGUUGAACGGGAUUUUGUUUGUUUUGGCUGAAAUUCAAGAAGUCCUCAACAUACAAGGUCCAAAGAAGAACCUGAAGCCGAAACCCAGGGAUCCGAUUUCGGUCAUUUAAGGGGAAUACAGAACUACGAUGGGCACAGCUUCCUUCUGUUUGGAAGGGACGUGUUCAAAGACAUGCAUAAGCAAUUCUCCCAAUCUUUCACAAAGCAGGGUUAGGUAUAAAAUUCACAACCCUCAAGGAAAACAUGAAAUUCAUUCCAUCGGAACAACAACUAGGCAUCAAUGUUUACAUUUGGAAAUACUAACAUUUUUCAUUCACCUGCAGUCAUUCUUCUGUGGAAAAAGAAACAUAGACCUGACUAGAGCAAGCAUUUUUGAACUUUUCACUGAGUAUGUCCUCUCUCUUUUAAAGUUGUGGCUCCACUUCUUAUCUUUCUGACAAACAAAGAAGCUAAAUAAGACCACUCGUAAAGGAGAUGUUUGCCAUCCAUCUUCCAAACAUUUAGAGAGGUUUGCCUAUUUUCUCUCUUCCUUGCUGAAUUCCCAAAUAUUUGUAUGGAUGCCUUUCCCCCAUUAAAGAUGGAUAUGGUCAGCAUUCGUAAGCCUUGUCUUGUCUUUUGCACGAAUUUCAAAGUUGCAACAAACCAGGUAUUGAAAAGCAGGGUGAAGGCUCAUGUGCGCCGUUCUCAGCCAGAGAGGCAUACAGAUUAAAUUCCUCACUGUGGUCAGUUUUAGGCUGCCUUCGGAUAGCAAGACGCCUUGAUAAAGAAUGUUAUCCUGUGAAUUUUCUUGCUUUUUGAGCAAGAACAAGGGAAAAGGGGCACAAACAAAGCACCUUUCUCUCUCUCUCUCUCUAAAGGAUUCUACAUUUUAUGCAAAACGAUUCUCCACAAUAAAAUAAAAUAAAAUGAAAUAAUGAAAUGAAAU
ensembl:lncRNA